UCCAGACCUAUGGCCUUGGAGUUCAUCCCCGUCCUCUGCCAGGUGAGAAGGAAGAUGAGAGAUACGUUCCUCGUCUUCAACUUUCUUCCAGGAAAGCCUUUCACCGAGCGAGCAGCUAAGCGAGUUCAUCCGCAUCUGUUGUCGUUCAAGUAGGUCUUUGGUUGUAGUAGUGUAGGCAUAGGAGAAGACUGAUUCCUAGCCUUUCUAUUUACUAAGGUCAGGAAUGGGGUAAAGGGGGAUCGGGGGAAGGUGAAAAGUUCAAGUUCAUUCCUCCCUCUAAUUCCAUCUCAGCCUAUCCGCCACAGAACAGGGGCGGGCUCUUUCUUCUUGUUCUUGCGUGACAUCUCGGUAAGGCUUUAGAUAUAUAGGAACUAGGGAAAAGAACCUCUUGCCGUCCUUGUCGAUCGAAAAAAAGUAGUAAAAUAGAAAAAAGGAUUCAAAUCUGCGUACUACUCCCUAGCUUCUUGAAACCACCAAUCCAUUACGAUGCCAGCAAAGAAAACCAACGCUUAAGACGCUAUUGGAGACUCGCGUAGCUAUUAUUCGAAGCUUAUUAAUUUCUUUACUGCGUUCAAGGCAUGACCGCGUGAUAGGUGUCCUUUUCCCCCUACUCAAGAAGAAGAGUUACAUGUGAGUUCCGAUCGUGAUAUGACAAACAAAUCUUACUUUUUCUUUCCCAAGCUGGCGCAUAACCUCUGGAC
rnacentral:lncRNA from 1 species